GAUGAAGAACGUAGCGAAAUGCGAUACUUGGUGUGAAUUGCAGAAUCCCGUGAACCAUCGAGUCUUUGAACGCAAGUUGCGCCCGAAGCCAUUAGGCCGAGGGCACGCCUGCCUGGGCGUCACACGUCGUUGCCCCCCCAUCUACUCCUUCGGGAUUGCGGGGGGCGGAUGAUGGCCUCCCGUGCGCCUCGCCGCGCGGUUGGCAUAAAUGCCAAGUCCUCGGCGACGCACGCCACGACAAUCGGUGGUUGCGAAACCUCGGUUGCCCGUCGUGUGCGGUCGUCGCGCAUCGAGGGCUCGAAAAAAUUGCCGGGUUCCGGCUCGGCUUUCAACGCGACCCAGGUCAGGCGGGGUUACCCGCUGAAUUUAAGCAUAUCAAUAAGCGGAGGA
rnacentral:misc_RNA from 1 species